rnacentral:lncRNA from 1 species
UGAUCAAUCCUCUGUGGACACUCUCGAAUACGAUGAUCUAAUGACCCAAACCUCAAACAAGCCCCUAUUCUCCUCCAACACUAGCCCAGAUGGUGCCUACCACAAUCCUUCUCAAACAAGUGCCUACCAUACGCUUAACAUCCUCGGUGAUCUUUGCCUUCUCAACCAAAACUGCAAACUCCCGCUCCCUCUGUGGAGCAAUCAAAAC